rnacentral:lncRNA from 1 species
CUCCAACCUAAGAGGCUCUGCCUACCCCAGGGCCUUUGCUCUUGCUGCUCCCUCUGCCCUGGAGUACUCUUCCCCAGCAGAACAUCCUGCCUCCUUCAGAUCUGCACUCAGAGGCCUCAUCCUCUGUCCACCCUUAUUUAGGAAGCAGCUCCUUCCCUAUACUUCCUCUCCCUCUACCUAGCUUUAUUUUCCUCCAGAGCGCUUAUCACUGCCUUCUCGGUGCCUCUGCCUGCACCUGGACCUUCAGUGCCACAGGGAGGGGCUCUGUGUUCCAGCCCUGAGCAGUGUCCAGAGCCCCCUGGGGCCUGAGGCCAGAAAGCAGCAUUUCCAGGAAUGGUCCUGGUAUCCACCGGAACAACAGGAAUUACUGGUUGGAUCCUGCCACUCUCCAGGAAACCCCUCCCCAGAGAGUUGGCAGAUCUGGUCUAUCAAGCGCUUUUGCUUUCACUUGCACGCAAAAAUCGAAAGAAAAACGAUGAUGCCAGAGGAAGGCAGGACCCUCCAUCUCUCUGUGACCCAGUGGGAAGCUCCUCGCCCGAGGCCAUCAAGACAGGCUCAGCAUGGAGCUGCAGAGCUGAACCCUUCUGAAGUCUCCACGUCCACUGGAUCCAGGCUACCUCCUUCCAGAAUGUUCUGGCCAUGUCUGUUGUGCCUGGUGAGAGCUCCCUGCAACACUAAGCCCUGAAGAACCCAUGUGUCCGAGGGAGGGCAGGACCCAGAUGGGAGUGAGGGUUCUGGGGAAGGAUGUCAGAGCUGGGGACAGAACUGUCACCAAAGAUGGAAGACACGUUUUGCUGUGGACUAAGAGCAGCAGAGGAUGAAAAGCUAACAGGCCAGGAGUAAGAAGGGAUGGCUGAAGAAAAGGUCUGGAAGAGGCAAAACCAUUAGGAUCAGAACUAGGGUCUGCUGGAAAGGAAGGAGGUGAGACCAGGCAUGUACUUGUCUGCUACAGGGUGACAGGGCCACCGCUGUCCCCUGGAAAGUGCAGACUUCUGCAGCAGGAAGUGCGGAAUAUGCUGGCCCUAAGAGGCUGACCGGAUAUUCGCACAGUGGCUCCUGGGAACCCUGAAGGGGACAGGGGUCUGGGCAUGGACGAGGAGCCAUGUCAUGGUGGCAUAAGUCUGUCAUCCUACCACUCAAGGGGCUAAGGCAGGAAGAUUGCUGCAAGUUCAAAGCCAGCCUGGGUACAUAGUGAGUUCAAGGCCAGCCUGAACUACAUAGUGAGACCCUGUCUCAAAAACCAAAAGAUUCCCCAAUCUCCAGAAUUCCCCAGGCUGAAGACAGUUUGCACAAGAAGGGCCUGGUGAGGGUUGCUGUCCCUGCUCCCCUCCCUGUAGAACAUCCAGUUGGUUAAAGCCAAACUGAGCUCCCAACAGGAGGGACAUAGGACCAGCUGCCCCGGGCUUCUGUGCAGAGUUAGGCAUGACACAGCUGAAGGGUGUCUAUAUUCUGGGAACUCUUCCUAGUCCCCAAGUCCAAUGUUUCUCUGUCACAGAAGCAGAGAGAAGACCUGAGAGUCAAUGUGGGCUUCUGCUCACGCUCAGUAUUCAUGGAGCAUGGUGACAUCUUGGUGGCCUAAGCGCUAGGAGAUGCAGAGGCCUCAUGCCAGGGAGCUGACCCUAGCCACCAUGACAGCUGGACAGAGGGGACAUUGAGACUCAAGUCCCCAGAACAUUCCAGGGACACCUUGAGGAAGGGUGUAGUGCCAGGGCCAUGUCAGGAGAGCCCUCCGGGCAGUCACCAGAGCUCUGGCUUCCUGAGUGCUAGGGGUUGCAGGCUCGGCAUGUGGAAGUGACUCAGUCACUUGUGACAGCUGUCAUACUGUCGAGUGUCCUAGGUGACCCAGGUGUGGUCAGAGUGAGAUUUACUGCACAAUGGUCAGGUGUGGGGUGUGGGUGUGGGGUGCAGGUACAAGCAGAGAGGAAUUGUGGGGCCCCAAGGGUCGGCUGUGGCAGGAUGUGGGUGCAUGGGGCCUAUUUGUUCUACUUUUCUGUUUUUUGGUACCGGGAUCAAACUCGGGACCUUGCGCUUACAAGGCAGGCGCUGGAACCACUGAGCUAAAUCCCUGGCCCCUGGCCACUCAUGUUAAUCUCAACACUCUAAGAUUACUUCUUCCCUAAUAAUAACUGACACUUUACAUUUGCUUCUAUGGUCUUUUUUCAUUUAGCACUAUAUUCUUGAUCACCUUCCUCCUCCUCGUUUUUCUUCUUGAGAUAGGGUUUUGCUAUGUAGCCCAGGCUGACCUCAAACUUUUGACCCUCCUACCUCAGCCUCUUGUAUGAUUACAGAUGUGUGCUCCACGCCCUACUUUCUUCUGUCAUUUUUGAGUACGAUAAAACAUCCCACAGUGUGGGUGGAAUGUAACUCAUGCAGCACUGACGUCUUUUCCAAUUGUUUCACUAUCAUGACCGUUACUAUACUAAGUCCUGAGAUGAUAAAUCUUUCCUCGCUAUCCAACUUCCUCCAGUCAAUUAUUUGGGGGAAGAGUUUGCACAUUUUUGAGUCAUCUUCUUGAUCUUGCCAAACUGCCCUUGAGGGGUCACAUGGACCCAUGUACUGGUCUCCUUGCCCUGCCAGCCCCAGACAGGCCUGAUCCUUCCCACUCACACUGCAUGCCAGGACUCCAUGCCAGGUCGCUAGGUGCAGGGACCUGUUUCAGACACCUCUGUCAUUGCCUAGGCAGUCUUAUCUCCUUCGUCCUGUCACUCCAAAGGCCUGAGCAGCAGCUGCUCGAGACACUGAAGAGCAGUUCAGAGGGUGAGGAAGCGGGUUCCCCAGAGUGCUGCUGAGCAGCCUUCAGCCCCCUCUUCCUCCUGCAGUGCCUGUGAGUGGCCAUAGGACUUGCUCAAGGCUCAGCCCCCACUGGGGCCCAGGACAGAAGCCAGGGUAGCCACCACAGGGGUCACCUUCCAGACACAAAUUUCCCUCUUCCCACUGGCCUCAUGUUGGGUGGUUUGUUCUAGUAUUUCUUUUCCUUUUGCUUGCUUGGUUUUUCAAGGGACAAGUUCUCGUUAUGUAGCCCAGGCUGGCCUAGAACUCUCAGCGAUCCUCUUGCCUCAGCCUCCUGAGUACUUACAGGGGUACACUACCAUACCUGGCUUAGUUGAUCUCAUUUGUGAAGGUUAAGCUCUUAGAUCUACAGCGGAAGUCCACCAUCAGCAGGCGGGGACUGGGUGUGCAGGCACCAGUGUCAGUGGGAGCUUCUCCUUUAUCCUUCCUGAGUUGAGCAGUCCAUGGUUGUGACAGCCCCUCACACAACAACCCGCCCCCCUUCCUGGAGGUAGUCUGGGCACAGAGCCCAGUGGGGCAGCCACCAGCAUGGCCAGAACGGGGUGGCCAGCUCCUGUGACAAUGCCACAACCGCAGGGGACAUGGAGGGGCAGCACCACCCAGAGACCAUGUUGUGCACAGUGGGGCUGAGGAAGAGAACUGGAAGCUGUUAGGACAUGGUCUGGAAGGGCUACCAAACACGGCACAGCCGAGGGAAAACAGGAGGGGGGGUUGUGCAUGCGUGAGCACAGAGACAACAACAGGAGGGCAGCUCGGGCCAGGCUGGGGUGAGUUUCUGUGUUUAUUUCUUUUCAUCCCUUGAAUGCUUUAUCCAUUUAGGAAAUAGAAUAAAAUUUCUACAUAAACAACCCUCAUUCUGAUGAGGAAGCCUCUCCCCUCAAAAAGCUCCUGGUCCAGCCUGGUGUUGACUAGGGAGGCUGAAGCAGGAGAGUCCCUGUGAGUUUAUGGCCAGCCUGGGCUACACAGUGAGACCCCAUCUUAAAUAAAUAAAUAAAUAAAUAAAUAAAUAAAUAAAUAAAUAAAUAAAUAAAUAAAUAAAUAAAUAAAUAAAUAAAUAAAUAAAUAAAUAAA